UGGGGAAUAUUGCACAAUGGGCGAAAGCCUGAUGCAGCAACGCCGCGUGAGUGAUGAAGGCCUUCGGGUUGUAAAGCUCUGUCUUUUGGGACGAUAAUGACGGUACCAAAGGAGGAAGCCACGGCUAACUACGUGUCAGCAGCCGCGGUAAUACGUAGGUGGCAAGCGUUGUCCGGAUUUACUGGGCGUAAAGGAUGCGUAGGCGGAUUUUUAAGUGAGAUGUGAAAUACCCGGGCUUAACUUGGGUGCUGCAUUUCAAACUGGGAAUCUAGAGUGCGGGAGAGGAGAAUGGAAUUCCUAGUGUAGCGGUGAAAUGCGUAGAGAUUAGGAAGAACACCAGUGGCGAAGGCGAUUCUCUGGACCGUAACUGACGCUGAGGCAUGAAAGCGUGGGUAGCAAACAGGAUUAGAUACCCUGGUAGUCCACGCCGUAAACGAUGAGUACUAGGUGUAGGAGGUAUCGACCCCUUCUGUGCCGCAGUUAACACAAUAAGUACUCCGCCUGGGAAGUACGAUCGCAAGAUU
rnacentral:rRNA from 1 species